UGCGCAGGCGGUUUUGUAAGACAGUGGUGAAAUCCCCGGGCUCAACCUGGGAACUGCCAUUGUGACUGCAAGGCUGGAGUGCGGCAGAGGGGGGUGGAAUUCCGCGUGUAGCAGUGAAAUGCGUAGAUAUGCGGAGGAACACCGAUGGCGAAGGCAAUCCCCUGGGCCUGCACUGACGCUCAUGCACGAAAGCUGGGAGCAAACA
rnacentral:rRNA from 1 species